AAUAUUAUUUAUUAUAUAUACAGCGGACGUCAGAUCAAAGUGGGGUAUCAAAAUCUAAAUUAUCAUGAAAUCGAGGCUAUUAUUUAUUAGGAAAAAUAUAGUAACAUUGUUGGAACCGAGGCGAUAUGCGUCCAGUAAAUCCACCCAUUGCGAUGCUCACAUGAAUGAGCUGCCGAUUCCAUGUGGUCCUUUUAAACCGUAUUACGAUCAUUGCCAGGCUUUCUACAACAAGGUUUUAGCAUUUGGGUCUCUUUGGUUUGCUUUCUCUUUCGUGUUUAUGUUAUGGACGGGCAGUUUAUACUUGAACUUAAUGCCGCCAGCGCAGCCUGGACCGCCCACGGAAAUGGUUAGCGACGCAGAUGACAGAUGUUGAAUAAACAUUUAUUUUUCAGAUA